GUGCUUGCUGUGGCAGCACAUGUACUAAAAAGGAAAAUACAUAGAAGAUUAGCAUGGCCCCUGUGCAAGAAUGACAUGCAAAUUCGUGAUGUGUUCCAUAGGUUU